UCUUCAAAAAAACUUUCAAACCUCUCUACAAACUAUUUUAGAAAUUGUUUUUUUACUACUUGUUUUAACUUAUAAUUUACCCUAGCUAUCUUAUUUAAGACAAAACACUAAAGCAAAGCGAGAAAGACGGCCUCAAAAGAUAAUAAAUGAUUGGCUAUAAUAAAGUUUAAAAAGUUUAUGACUCUGAGUCGCGUGAGAAGAUUUCCGUUCAUCGAUGUUUGGACCGUGUUUUUCAUACCUCCGCCAAAAACCAAAAGCACAUAAACCGAUACGCACCUGACUUGGCGCAGAAAUGGUUCAGAAGUUUUACUUUGCCUUGAAACAUAUGAAGAGAGAUCGAAUGCCCACCGCGUCCCGAUAAACCACCGAAUGCGAGGGGGAUUUUUAAUUGGGUCAAAUUGAUAAUCAGCAUCAUAUCUUUUGGGUUAUAGAAAAUUAAUUCAAAAA